rnacentral:rRNA from 1 species
CUACGGGAGGCAGCAGUGGGGAAUAUUGCACAAUGGGCGCAAGCCUGAUGCAGCCAUGCCGCGUGUAUGAAGAAGGCCUUCGGGUUGUAAAGUACUUUCAGCGGGGAGGAAGGGAGUAAAGUUAAUACCUUUGCUCAUUGACGUUACCCGCAGAAGAAGCACCGGCUAACUCCGUGCCAGCAGCUGCGGUAAUACGGAGGGUGCAAGCGUUAAUCGGAAUUACUGGGCGUAAAGCGCACGCAGGCGGUUUGUUAAGUCAGAUGUGAAAUCCCCGGGCUCAACCUGGGAACUGCAUCUGAUACUGGCAAGCUUGAGUCUCGUAGAGGGGGGUAGAAUUCCAGGUGUAGCGGUGAAAUGCGUAGAGAUCUGGAGGAAUACCGGUGGCGAAGGCGGCCCCCUGGACGAAGACUAACGCUCAGGUGCGAAAGCGUGGGGAGCAAACAGGAUUAAAUACCCCUGUAGUC